CCGAGACUGCAGGCCGCCGCCGGGUCGGACUAGACGGAAGAAAAUAUCCACGCCUAUUGAAGAUGUUUCAAAUGCAACUGUUAAACGUGAGAAUAGUGGCUGGAGAUGUUUCAAACUUGUUUUACCUCUUGGUGGACAUUAAGACCUAUCGUGUGCUCUCUGUCAUCUCGGUGUAAUUUACUCUCGAAUCCUACCCUCACAUGGAACAGUCUGUCAUAGGUUGAGUUGGGUCCGUGCUGCAAAAACACAACAGGAAUUCAAACAUUUGAUCCGUCUGGUACAACUUCUCAAAGUUCCCAAGACGCUGAGUUGCUCUGUCACUAAGGAGCAGUGUGAAGGACAUGAUGUCUAAGGUG